rnacentral:tRNA from 1 species
GUUUAGGUAGUUUAUUUAGAAUAGCAAUUUGUGGAAUUGCAGGUGUUACAUAUAACUUUAGACC